CUGAGAAAUUGAGUUACGAGAAACCUAUGAGUUCUCCCUGGCAGGGCUGGGAAAUCCAGCCACCGCAAGGAGGAGAUGUUCCCACCGCAGACUUGGUGCGCCCGGGGUCAGCACAUUUGAGCAGUUUGCUGACGUGGAGGGUUUUCCUGGGGGCCUGUCAAGCACAGAGACUACCAAGAUGGAGAAGUUGCAGCCCUGGUCCUCAAGAACUUGCCUGCACAUGGAAAAAUAGAAGCUGAGAGGCAGCUGGUAAGAAAGGGGAAGGGAAGUUACACACUGGAGGCUGGCAUGGCCACUGGGAGUGCACAGGGCUAGAGGCCAGCCUAGCCUCCUUACAGCCACAGGCGUCCAGAGAACAACUCUCCAAGCCUGAGAUUCCACCUCUUGUCAAAUGGAGAUAGUCAUUGCUACUUGAAAC
rnacentral:lncRNA from 13 species